rnacentral:rRNA from 1 species
CUCCGGUUUUAGGAAAAAGCGCUCGGUUAAUACCCGGGUGUUAUGACGGUACCGGAAGAAUAAGCACCGGCUAACUUCGUGCCAGCAGCCGCGGUAAUACGAAGGGUGCARGCGUUACUCGGAAUUACUGGGCGUAAAGCGUGCGUAGGUGGUUUGUUAAGUCUGAUGUGAAACCCCUGGGCUCAACCUGGGAACUGCAUUGGAAACUGGCUUACUAGAGUGCGGUAGAGGGGUGUGGAAUUCCCGGUGUAGCAGUGAAAUGCGUAGAUAUCGGGAGGAACAUCUGUGGCGAAGGCGACACCCUGGACCAGCACUGACACUGAGGCACGAAAGCGUGGGGAGCAAACAGGAUUAGAUACCCUGGUAGUCCACGCCCUAAACGAUGCGAACUGGAUGUUGGGGGCAACUUGGCCCUCAGUAUCGAAGCUAACGCGUUAAGUUCGCCGCCUGGGAAGUACGGUCGCAAGACUGAAACUCAAAGGAAUUGACGGGGUUUCAAAUG